rnacentral:misc_RNA from 1 species
CACCUGCUUAAAAUGAGUAUAUACUUGUGUACACACACACACAGACCUUCCUUUCAGAAGGUGCUAACAUGAGGAAAUACUGUCGAAUAUGAGACCAAGUAAUAUUAUAACAAGCUCAAAACAGAGCCUCGACAAUGUGCGCCCAUAUAUCAGGAUGGGAAUAUCUAACCUAACAAAACAAAACCUCAUGGCCCCAGACGAAUACAUCUACUAACCAAUCAAUAAUACAAGGAAG